rnacentral:rRNA from 1 species
CCUACGGGUGGCUGCAGUGGGGAAUAUUGCACAAUGGGCGCAAGCCUGAUGCAGCCAUGCCGCGUGUGUGAAGAAGGCCUUCGGGUUGUAAAGCACUUUCAGCGGGGAGGAAGGCGGUGAGGUUAAUAACCUCAUCGAUUGACGUUACCCGCAGAAGAAGCACCGGCUAACUCCGUGCCAGCAGCCGCGGUAAUACGGAGGGUGCAAGCGUUAAUCGGAAUUACUGGGCGUAAAGCGCACGCAGGCGGUCUGUCAAGUCGGAUGUGAAAUCCCCGGGCUCAACCUGGGAACUGCAUUCGAAACUGGCAGGCUAGAGUCUUGUAGAGGAGGGUAGAAUUCCAGGUGUAGCGGUGAAAUGCGUAGAGAUCUGGAGGAAUACCGGUGGCGAAGGCGGCCCCCUGGACAAAGACUGACGCUCAGGUGCGAAAGCGUGGGGAGCAAACAGGAUUAGAUACCCUAGUAGUC